GUUCCCAAUCCCUUACCAGAACUUUUCUUGACACACCAAAGGCCUCAUGGGCGGGCUGUGAGCACCCUGGGACAGAGACUCUGUGCUUUUGCAUUUGUGGCCCACAGUCAACAGGACUCAUCUUUGGAAUUUAUAUAGCCCAGAUGGUCCAGAAGCUUCACGUGCUUGCCAACACUGAGGAAAGCUACUGUGUCUCCUCCCUGGAAACCUUGGCAGGACUCUGGCCACUCUCCUAACCUUUCCUGAAACCUUGGCUCCACAAGCCUCUUCUCACUGCUGAGCUUCAUGUGAGGUGGUGACAAACUAGUAAGAGCAGAGGACAAUCAUCUCUGCUCCCCAGCAGUGACUCCAUGAUCUCAGAGGAAAACUGGGUGGCUUUCAGGACAAAUCUGCAAAUACCAUCUCAAUCCUGAUAAGUAAGAGAUCUAAAUACUGUUUGCUUUAGAGUAUUUUUCCAUCAGCAUCGAGCUCAGCUGUGUCAUAAAACUGCUCACAUGGGCAGGAGGAUUAUGAGACCUUUGAAGACAGUGUCGGUCAAGAUGUGAUCACGUUGUACCCUGCUGCUCCUGAAUCUUGUAGAAGAUGAAUUGGAGGCAGGAGAAGCCCAGCAGGGAGGAUGUCCCUGAGGAACACAAAGGAAGAAGUAAAGAGAGAAGCAAAUUUCAGAAGAUGCCAAAGGAAGACCACAUCCCACCUCCAUAAGGAGUUUAGAGCCUUCGUGACUUCUCCCAUUAACUACAUAGGCAACCUAAAUAAAUCACUAUGACUCCUUAA